AACCUCCGCAAUGUGAGAAAUCGCGACGGGGGGAUCCCAAGUGCCAUUCUUAACGGGAUGGCUUUUCAUUAGUGUAAAGAGCUUUUGGAAUAAGGGCUGGGCAAGACCGGUGCCAGCCGCCGCGGUAACACCGGCAGCUCUAGUGGUAGCAGUCUUUAUUGGGCCUAAAGCGUCCGUAGCCGGUUUAAUAAGUCUCUGGUGAAAUCCUGUAGCUUAACUGUGGGAAUUGCUGGAGAUACUAUUAGACUUGAGACCGGGAGAGGUUAGAGGUACUCCCAGGGUAGAGGUGAAAUUCUGUAAUCCUGGGAGGACCGCCUGUUGCGAAGGCGUCUAACUGGAACGGUUCUGACGGUGAGGGACGAAAGUUAGGGGCGCGAACCGGAUUAGAUACCCGGGUAGUCCUAACUGUAAACGAUGCGGACUUGGUGUUGGGGUGGCUUUGAGCUGCUUCAGUGCCGAAGGGAAGCUGUUAAGUCCGCCGCCUGGGAAGUACGGUCGCAAGACUGAAACUUAAAGGAAUU
rnacentral:rRNA from 1 species